GUGCUUGCUUCAGUACCAUAUAUACUAAAAUUGAAAUGACACAGAGAUUAGUAUGGCCCCUGCACAAGGAUGACAUUGCGAAUUUGUGAAGCAUAGCCGAUGAAU
rnacentral:snRNA from 1 species